rnacentral:rRNA from 1 species
AACGAACGCUGGCGGCAUGCCUAACACAUGCAAGUCGAACGAAUGUAGCAAUACAUGAGUGGCGAACGGGUGAGUAACGCGUGGGAACCUGCCUAGUGGUAGGGAAUAACCGCGGGAAACUGCGGCUAAUACCCUAUGAGCCCUCCGGGGGAAAGAUUUAUCGCCAUUAGAGGGGCCCGCGUCGGAUUAGCUAGUUGGUGGGGUAACGGCCCACCAAGGCGACGAUCCGUAGCUGGUCUGAGAGGAUGAUCAGCCACACUGGGACUGAGAUACGGCCCAGACUCCUACGGGAGGCAGCAGUGGGGAAUAUUGGACAAUGGGGGCAACCCUGAUCCAGCAAUGCCGCGUGAGUGAAGAAGGCCUUAGGGUUGUAAAGCUCUUUCGGCGGGGAAGAUGAUGACGGUACCGCAGAAGAAGCCCCGGCUAACUUCGUGCCAGCCGCCGCGGU